GCCCGGAUGGUCUAGUGGUAUGAUUCCUGCUUCGGGGACCCAAACUCCUCCUAUUAAACAUAGGAUUGAAAUGCAGGAGGUCUCGGGUUCGAAUCCCGAUUCGGGCC